ensembl:snRNA U6 U6 spliceosomal RNA
GUACUCGCUUCAGCAGCACAUAUACUAAAAUUGGAACAAUACAGAAAAGAUUAGCAUGGCCCCUGUGCAAGGAUGACAUGCAAAUUCACGAAGCACUUCAUAUUAAA